rnacentral:rRNA from 1 species
CCUACGGGUGGCAGCAGUGAGGAAUAUUGGUCAAUGGACGCAAGUCUGAACCAGCCAUGCCGCGUGCAGGAAGACGGCUCUAUGAGUUGUAAACUGCUUUUGUACGAGGGUAAACGCAGAUACGCGUAUCUGUCUGAAAGUAUCGUACGAAUAAGGAUCGGCUAACUCCGUGCCAGCAGCCGCGGUAAUACGGAGGAUUCAAGCGUUAUCCGGAUUUAUUGGGUUUAAAGGGUGCGUAGGCGGUCGGAUAAGGUAGAGGUGAAAUCCCGAGGCUCAACUUCGGAAUUGCCUCUGAUACUGUUCGGCUAGAGAGUAGUUGCGGUAGGCGGAAUGUAUGGUGUAGCGGUGAAAUGCUUAGAGAUCAUACAGAACACCGAUUGCGAAGGCAGCUUACCAAGCUACUUCUGACGUUGAGGCACGAAAGCGUGGGGAGCGAACAGGAUUAGAUACCCUAGUAGUC